AACAUUUAUUUUUAUUGAACCUUUAUUUAACUAGGCAAGUCAGUUAAGAACAAAUUCUAAUUUACAAUAACAACCUACACCAGCCAAACUCGGACGACAUGACUGUGACGCCGCAGUAAAUGUCUAUUACCAGAAAGAUAAGGAUCUUCUUUCAAUAAUUACAAUAUAUUAUGUUUGUUUUGGAUUAACUUCUGAAAUAAAUCUUUCUUGAACCAAAUAUUUAGGUGCUACUGAUGUGGUGGAACAGAAAGUCAAGUGUUAUUGACAAUUUAUCAAACUCGAAUGGAUUUGAAAUACAUAAAAUAGUAAAAUAUAUUUCUAACUGUUUUCUAGGUAACAGCAAUUGUCUUUAAUUUGGUAAGGUUCAGUACACAUUUGGCGUUUUAGACAUUUGGACUUCUGAAGAAUACAAAAAUAUGUUUUCAUGAGUUCACUCAUGUUCCGUAGAUUGAGACUUGAGAGAAAGAGAUGGGGAGCAAUUGCUCCAAAGGGAGGAGAGAGGAGAGGGACAUUACCAGUUUCUCCAAAAAGAGAAGUUUGUCUUUGGGAAGAAAAAAGGAGUACACUGAAGGGAGGAAAGCAGAGGGCAACAGUGGAGAAACGCUCUUUCAACAAAGGUCAGACCAAUUUCCCUGAAAUGGUUCAAGUCAGUAUUGCCUUGUGUUGUAGUACCAGGUUGAGGACAUAGAGGCCAGUGUUACCUCUAUCUCUCAUUGUCUCUCCUAGUCUUCCUGGCCUACAAUCCCCAGUCUCCCCAGCCUACAAUCCCCAGCCUACAAUCCCCAGUCUCCCCAGCCUACAAUCCCCAGUCUCCCCAGCCUACAAUCCCCAGUCUCCCCAGUCUACAAUCCCCAGUCCCCCCAGACCGACAAUCCCCAGUCUUCCCAGCCUACAAUCCCCAGUCUUCCCUCACAGCUGAGGGUGGAAGCAGUCUAUGUGCCCCAGUGAUCAGCAAUAAGGAAGUAGGAGGUAACAUCAACAUCACUCAGAACAACACUCAGAACAACGAUGACUCCUCCCAGGUUGCACAAUGCAGUGCCACGCUAAAAGGUGAGUUGCGUGGUGGUCUGUCUCCAGUAUCCAGAGAGACCCAGAGCGCAUCAAGGAACACACACUACCACCACAAUAUGAAGAGAAAGACAACACAAAGAAGACACAAUACAUAAUGAAUGAUAAAUACAUCUGCUAAAUGCAUUAUUAUGAUGCAUGACAUAGCAGCUAAUAGGUUAUUUUGCAUUGCGUAUUAUGCAGAUGAAUGCACAUAUAAUGCAUUAUGAAGAGGGUAUUCAUAGGAGGUGUUACCAUAGGAGGUGUUACCAUAAGAGGUGUUACCAUAGGAGGUGUUACCAUAGGAGUUGUUAACAUAGGAGGUGUUACCAUAGCCAUAGGAGGUGUUACCACAGGAGGUGUUACCACAGGAGGUGUUACCACAGGAGGUGUUACCAUAGGAGGUGUUACCAUAGCCAUAUGAGGUGUUACCAUAGGAGGUGUUACCAUAGGAGGUGUUACCAUAGGAGGUGUUACCAUAGGAGGUGUU